rnacentral:rRNA from 1 species
AUUGAACGCUAGCGGGAUGCUUUACACAUGCAAGUCGAACGGCAGCGCGGACUUCGGUCUGGCGGCGAGUGGCGAACGGGUGAGUAAUGUAUCGGAACGUGCCCAGUAGCGGGGGAUAACUACGCGAAAGCGUAGCUAAUACCGCAUACGCCCUACGGGGGAAAGCAGGGGAUCGUAAGACCUUGCACUAUUGGAGCGGCCGAUAUCGGAUUAGCGAGUUGGUGAGGUAACGGCUCACCAAGGCGACGAUCCGUAGCUGGUUUGAGAGGACGACCAGCCACACUGGGACUGAGACACGGCCCAGACUCCUACGGGAGGCAGCAGUGGGGAAUUUUGGACAAUGGGGGCAACCCUUAUCCAGCCAUCCCGCGUGUGCGAUGAAGGCCUUCGGGUUGUAAAGCACUUUUGGCAGGAAAGAAACGUCGCGGGCUAAUACCCCGUGGAACUGACGGUACCUGCAGAAUAAGCACCGGCUAACUACGUG